rnacentral:rRNA from 1 species
AUUGAACGCUGGCGGCAGGCCUAACACAUGCAAGUCGAACGGUAACAGGAAGAAGCUUGCUUCUUUGCUGACGAGUGGCGGCCGGGUGAGUCAUGUCUGGGAAACUGCCUGAUGGAGGGGGAUACCUACUGGAAACGGUAGCUAAUACCGCAUAACGUCGCAAGACCAAAGAGGGGGAGCUUCGGGCCUCUUUCCAUCGGAUGUGCCCAGAUGGGAUUAGCUAGUAGGUGGGGUAACGGCUCACCUAGGCGACGAUCCCUAGCUGGUCUGAGAGGAUGACCAGCCACACUGGAACUGAGACACGGUCCAGACUCCUACGGGAGGCAGCAGUGGGGAAUAUUGCGCAAUGGGCGCAAGCCUGAUGCAGCCAUGCCGCGUGUAUGAAGAAGGCCUUCGGGUUGUAAAGUACUUUCAGCGGGGAGGAAGGGAGUAAAGUUAAUACCUUUGCUCAUUGACGUUACCCGCAGAAGAAGCACCGGCUAACUCCGUG